rnacentral:misc_RNA from 1 species
AAUCCUUGAAAAGAGAACUAAUUGUCCAAAAUAUUAUUGAUCUUAUAAGGUUGUCAUAACAAAGCUUGUCUAAUAACAGUAGAAACCUAGGUCUUACUUAUAGAAUUAAGAAUUCUAACCACAUUGAGAUUUUAAAACUGUUGAGAAGGAUUCUUGGAGAAAAGAGUUUUUUUUUAUUUCAGUGUGUAUUUGCCUUGUAUACUCUUCCUAUUUAUAUACAACAAUCCUAAAUACAAAAGAGGAAGAUACCUACAAAAAGAAAAGAAUAAAUAAAAUACAAUACAAUCUCUUUAAUUUAGGGUUUUACAAUCUAGUAGGAUUUCAACCCUCCCUCUCAAGUUGGUUCAUGUAUGUUACACAUGCCCA